rnacentral:rRNA from 1 species
ACAGCAGUAGCCACGGUAAUACGAAGGGUGCAAGCGUUAACCGGAAUUACUGGGCGUAAAGCGUGCGCAGGCGGUUAUAUAAGACAGAUGUGAAAUCCCCGGGCUCAACCUGGGACCUGCAUUUGUGACUGUAUAGCUAGAGUACGGUAGAGGGGGAUGGAAUUCCGCGUGUAGCAGUGAAAUGCGUAGAUAUGCGGAGGAACACCGAUGGCGAAGGCAAUCCCCUGGACCUGUACUGACGCUCAUGCACGAAAGCGUGGGGAGCAAACAGGAUUAGAUACCCCAGUAGUCCCUGUCUCUUAUAC